rnacentral:tRNA from 1 species
UGCUGGUAUAGCACAGCGGUAGUGCAGUCGCUUUGUAAGCGAAAGGUCGGGAGUUCAAUCCUCUCUAUCAGCAU